AUUGAACGCUGGCGGCAGGCCUAACACAUGCAAGUCGAACGGCAGCACAGAAGAGCUUGCUCUUUGGGUGGCGAGUGGCGGACGGGUGAGUAAUGUCUGGGAAACUGCCCGAUGGAGGGGGAUAACUACUGGAAACGGUAGCUAAUACCGCAUAACGUCGCAAGACCAAAGUGGGGGAACUUCGGGCCUCAAACCAUCGGAUGGGCCCAGAUGGGAUGAGAUAGUAGGUGGGGUAAUGGCCCACCUAGGCGACGAUGCCUAGCUGGUCUGAGAGGAUGACCAGCCACACUGAAACUGAGACACGGUCCAGACUCCUACGGGAGGCAGCAGUGGGGAAUAUUGCACAAUGGGCGCAAGCCUGAUGCAGCCAUGCCGCGUGUAUGAAGAAGGCCUUCGGGUUGUAAAGUACUUUCAGCGGGGAGGAAGGCGGUGAGGUUAAUAACCUUGCCGAUUGACGUUACCCGCAGAAGAAGCACCGGCUAACUCCGUGCCAGCCGCCGCGGUAA
rnacentral:rRNA from 1 species